UUCCUACGGGCGGCAGCAGCAAGGAAUUUUGGGCAAUGGGGGAAACCCUGACCCAGCGACGCCGCGUGAGCGAAGAAGGCCUUCGGGUCGUAAAGCUCUGUCUUUGGGGACGAAUGGGACGGUACCCAAAGAGGAAGCCCCGGCUAACUACGUGCCAGCAGCCGCGGUAAUACGUAGGGGGCGAGCGUUGUCCGGAAUUAUUGGGCGUAAAGGGCGAGUAGGCGGCUUUGCAAGUCGGGUGUGAAACCCCAAGGCUCAACCUUGGUCAUGCAUCCGAAACUGCAGGGCUUGAGGUCAGAAGAGGAGAGCGGAAUUCCCGGUGUAGCGGUGAAAUGCGUAGAGAUCGGGAGGAACACCAGUGGCGAAGGCGGCUCUCUGGUCUGCACCUGACGCUGAGUCGCGAAAGCUAGGGGAGCAAACGGGAUUAGAUACCCCUGUAGUC
rnacentral:rRNA from 2 species